GUAACACGUAGUCAACACCCCUUAGGGGACGUGGAUAACCUCGGGAAACUGAGAUUAAACCGCGAUAGGUCAAGAUUUCUGGAAUGGAUCCUGGCUUAAAUCUACAUGGCCCCUGGAUUGGACUGCGGCCGAUCAGGCUGUUGGUGAGGUAAUGGCCCACCAAACCUAUAACCGGUACGGGCUCUGAGGGGAGAAGCCCGGAGAUGGGCACUGAGACAAGGGCCCAGGCCCUAUGGGGCGCAGCAGGCGCGAAAACUCUGCAAUGGGCGAAAGCCUGACAGGGUUACUCUGAGUGAUUUCCGCUAAGGAGAUCUUUUGGCAGCUCUAAAAAUGGUGCAGAAUAAGGGGUGGGCAAGUCUGGUGUCAGCCGCCGCGGUAAUACCAGCACCCCGAGUGGUCGGGACGAUUAUUGGGCCUAAAGCAUCCGUAGCCGGUUGUGCAAGUCCUCCGUUAAAUCCAGCCGCUCAACGGAUGGGCUGCGGAGGAUACUACAGAACUAGGAGGCGGGAGAGGCAAGCGGUACUUAGUGGGUAGGGGUAAAAUCCAUUGAUCCAUUGAAGA
rnacentral:rRNA from 1 species